CCUCCUCUGGCUUACGGCGGAACCGUGGAAUGAUGACAUCAGCGCGUGACCGUGUGCCCGCUCUGCGCGUGAGCUGAUCAAUCGCCUCUCAGUUGACCCAGUAACCUCCCCUCCACCCGCCCAGUGCUCCCAGUGCUCCCAGUCCGGAUGCUGGCGGCCUCCAUCCAGGUCAGCGGGGAGCCGCUUUCGGCGGCCGAGGUUCAGGAUAUCUGCGACCGGCUGCGGGAGGACGGGGUCCGGCUGCUGUCGGUCCGCGGCUGCCGGCUGUCGGACCGGGACUUCGGCCGGGUCUGCCGCGGCGUGGCCGCCUCGCGCUGCCUGGCACAGCUCAACCUCAACCUGGGCGUGGUCUCCAGCAUCGGCCGCGCGCGCCACCUGGCGGACGCCUUGGCGGCCAACCGUUCCCUGCAGACUCUGUUCCUCCACGGCAGCCCGCUGCUGGACGCCGGCCUGGAGGCCCUGAACCCGGCACUGGCCGCCCACCCGGCGCUGGUCUGCCUGGACCUGGGCGACUGCCUGCUGGGGGACGCGGCGCUGGCGCUGAUCUGCGGGAUGCUUCCGCCGGACGGAGCCAAGUCAGGACUCAGAGAGCUGACUCUCAGCGCCAAUCCGCGGAUCACAACCAAGGCCUGGGCCCGGUUCUCGGUAGCAGUGGCUCACAGCUCCCAGCUCCGGGUCCUCAACCUGGACUACAACCCACUGGGGGACCAGAUUGCGGCCAUGCUAGCAGUUGCCGUGGCGUCCAGUAGAACCCUGGAGGUUCUGGACCUGGAGGGAACCGGACUGACCAACCAGUCGGCGCAGGUGUUCCUGGACAUGGUGGAGAACUACCCCACCUGCCUUCGGGUUCUGGUUCUGGCCGAGAAUGAAGUGAGUUCGGAGCUCCAGCAGCAGAUCAGCGACCUGCUGUCUGAAGGGGAGGAGGACGGCCGGGAGGCUCCGCCCCCUCCGCCAGGCCACGCCCCCAGCAGCGCCCUGCAGCCAAUCAGAGAGAAGCCCCUCCCCUGGCUCCCCCACAGCAACUCCAGUCUGCCCACGGUCAUGCUGACAUCAGGAGUAGGUGAGAGCCUAUUGGCUGAAGCUGAGAUAUGACCAUGCCCACUUCCUGCUAGAGUGUUGUCACUUCCUGGACUGAAUGUUCGUCUGCUCUGAUCUGAUUGGUCCAGAACAAGAACAGAGUGAAACAGAUUUAUUGAAGACAGACCGAAUCGGUUCUGGUUUUGUUCAGAGCAAAGUUCUGAUGACUUCUGGACCGCCGUCAUUCAGCCGAUAAGAGGAAAAACGAGCUCAUUCUUCAGUUGUAUUUUCACCAUGUUGUCCUUUCACUUCUAAAUGCCACAGUUUAAAGAUUUAGUUAGCAAACUUGCUAACUAAAUCUUUAUUUUGUAAGCUAGCGAUAUUUAGCUUUGUAACUAUUUAGUUUGAAAUGGUGACAUUUAUAAAUGAAUAAACAUUGAAAUGAA